rnacentral:rRNA from 1 species
UACGUAGGUGGCGAGCGUUGUCCGGAUUUAUUGGGCGUAAAGCGCGCGCAGGUGGUGCGGUAAGUCUGCCGUGAAAUCUCCCGGCUCAACUGGGAGGGGGCGGUGGAGACUGCCGGACUGGAGGGACUCAGAGGCCGGUGGAAUUCCCGGUGUAGAGGUGAAAUUCGUAGAUAUCGGGAGGAACACCUGUGGCGAAGGCGGCCAUCUGGACAGUCACUGACACUGAGACGCGAAAGCGUGGGUAGCAAACAGG